GCCAACGUCGUCACGACAAUGCUGAACUCGUAAAGGAGCGAUCCGAAUGGGCGCGCUGCGGUUGCUCCCAUUCCCGCCAUUCAGGUAGGGCGCGAAAGUCAUGCAGCAACAUGUGCUCCACUUCCAUAACCUCCGGUUACUGGCUUCAAAUCCAUGGCGGAACCGUGGACGGAAAAUGUGAACCGGCGGGCGAGCGCUGUAUUCUCGGGGUCACGUAGAUUUGAGUCAAAGUGGUAUAUUCCCCCGAGCCCGGCCGGUGCACACCUUGGAGCGUAGCUUGGUUUAGCUGCGCCGUAAAGGAAGUAAUCUGCUGCUGCAUUUGGAGGGGCGUCGUCGGAUCCGGGGCUGUGGGUGGGUGUUGUAGAGUCGGGCCGGCGUUGAUAUAUGCCGGAACCUGAGGGCCGGAAGGAAGCCCAGGCUGCGACAUAUCCGUCAACUGCCUGGUGUAAAUUGUUGUCGGAUCUGUUGUCGGCAUUAUUCCUAGUGUAACGGACAACAAUGCCGCCAAAGCAUGAACGAGAUCCGCUUCAAUGAAUCAAGAUCCUUCAUGGUGCUAGUAUUCUUCUUGUUUUUGUUGCUCAGUGCGUGCUGAUCAACAAAACGGGUCUCGCGCCUCUGGCGCGCUUUCUCUAACUACACCGCUGUGCCUUCGGUUCGCCAGCUAGACCCAUCAGGUAGAGUGCAGUGGAGAAUGUGAAACACUAGCACCAUAGAUUUAGCCCACCUAUAUGAAGCAUAUUGCAUAGUGCUAGUGGCGCCGAAUGUUCCGGUAUCGCUAGGCCUGACUCCGCUGGUGGAGGCAACUCACAGCUAUACUGCAUAGAUAACUGGAAUGUCACAGACUGGCAAUUCCUACAGGGCUUCUGCGACGUAGUUUAUGCCCCAUGCUUUCUCUGGAGCGGGUCAACAACCGCGGGUUACAGCAGGUGGCCGAAGUUGGCUGGUUAGAGCCGGGGGAGGGGGGAUCGCCCGUAUGCAUCAGCUCAUAGCAGGCGCAUCGUGCGACACCAGCCAUGGCACAGUGUGCCGCGUCAGCCUAUACCGAACAAGCAAGAACUGUGCAUGGAAGAGCCGAUGCACUCCCCUCCUCCACAUCCAUCAGAAUGCUGUCGGCCUGGGCUUGCACGGUGGCCUUAUCUGCAGCCCCCAUCAUCUGACGCAUGUGUGCCUGUUGGUUCAGGCAGGCAGCGGAUUGGGCUAGCACCCAUUUGAAGCCUGGCCACCAAUUGAGGGGUCCUCUGGGUCCAUGUGUGCUGUACUAUGUACCCAAUGAUUGAGGGUAUUGCUGAGAUCCCCGUGGUCCAGGAAUGGGUUUGGGGCAGUCCCGGCCCUGGCAUUGUUGCGCCAUAGCAUGGAAGGUGGUAUGGGUGAUGUGGUGGUCCACCGGGGUCGCAGAUGCUGUAUUGCUGCCAUAGUUCGCCACCGGCUCCAUGGUGUUGGACACUGGAAUAUGAUUAAUACAGGAGACGCCCGCUGGAUGGACGGCUGCCAUCCCUGCACUUGCCGCAGCCCACAGCCCGAUCUGGCACUCCUUGUUGGUGGAGUUACAAGUUCAGCUCGUAUGGGUAGUUUUACAG
rnacentral:lncRNA from 1 species